rnacentral:rRNA from 1 species
CAUGCAAGUCGAACGGAAAGGCCCUUCGGGGUGCUCGAGUGGCGAACGGGUGAGUAACACGUGGGUGAUCUGCCCUGCACUUUGGGAUAAGCCUGGGAAACUGGGUCUAAUACCGAAUAGGACUCCAGCCUUCAUGGGUUGGGGUGGAAAGCUUUUGCGGUGUGGGAUGGGCCCGCGGCCUAUCAGCUUGUUGGUGGGGUAAUGGCCUACCAAGGCGACGACGGGUAGCCGGCCUGAGAGGGUGACCGGCCACACUGGGACUGAGAUACGGCCCAGACUCCUACGGGAGGCAGCAGUGGGGAAUAUUGCACAAUGGGCGCAAGCCUGAUGCAGCGACGCCGCGUGAGGGAUGACGGCCUUCGGGUUGUAAACCUCUUUCAGCACAGACGAAGCGCAAGUGACGGUAUGUGCAGAAGAAGGACCGGCCAACUACGUGCCAGCAGCCGCGGUAAUACGUAGGGUCCGAGCGUUGUCCGGAAUUACUGGGCGUAAAGAGCUCGUAGGUGGUUUGUCGCGUUGUUCGUGAAAUCUC